AACCAGACUCCUACGGGAGGCAGCAGUGAGGAAUAUUGGUCAAUGGCCGAGAGGCUGAACCAGCCAAGUCGCGUGAGGGAAGACGGCCCUACGGGUUGUAAACCUCUUUUGUCGGGGAGCAAAGCGAACCACGUGUGGUUCAUUGAGAGUACCCGAAGAAAAAGCAUCGGCUAACUCCGUGCCAGCAGCCGCGGUAAUACGGAGGAUGCGAGCGUUAUCCGGAUUUAUUGGGUUUAAAGGGUGCGUAGGCGGGGCGGUAGGCCAGGGGAAAAAAGGGGGAGCUCAACGCGGUCGAGCCGUUGAAACUGCCGUUCUUGAGUGAGCGAGAAGUAUGCGGAAUGCGUGGUGUAGCGGUGAAAUGCUUAGAUAUUGCGCAGAACUCCGAUUGCGAAGGCAGCAUACCGGCGGCGAUCUGACGCUGAGGCACGAAAGCGUGGGUAUCGAACAGGAUUAGAUACCCGAGUA
rnacentral:rRNA from 1 species